CCCCGCCCUCCCCACUCACCCCCGCGCUCCCACCCUGAGCGAGCUGUGAGCGGGGGGGGUGCUGUUCGCGUCCCCGGGAGCUGUUGCUGCCGCCCAUAGAGGACUCGCAGCAGCCUCGUGUCGUCUGUGUGUGGAAGAUUGCAGAGCGCUGGGGAGACUGUUUGGGAUAAAGAGCUGAAAGCUCCACGCUCCCGAGGGAACGCUUUGGGCCCCUGCCGCUUCUGAAGCGCACCGAUAAUCCCGGCUCCCCCAGAAACCUUCCGAAGCUGGAAGAGACAGGCAAGACAACUGCAGGAGGGGUGCGGGAAGCACUUUCUCCCGGGUCUGGACAGCACUGAGAUGGGAAUGACUUCAGAAUAUUCCUCGUGCCUCUCCUGUUGCCAGCCUGGGACUAAGUCAGUCCCUGCGUGUGGUGGGAGGAAGCCUGUGCUGGAGAGCGAGAGAAAGGUCCCUGCUGGUUGCUGUGUCCUCGGUGGGCAGAGAACUGUGACCUUGGCCAGAUGGGUUGAGUGAAAAGCUCAGUCAAGAGUGCACGAGUACAAAGCAGGGAGCUCGGAGUGCUCGGUUGCACCCUGCUGCAGGGCCUGGCCAGCACCUUGCGUGAGCUUAUGAAACCCCUGUGCCUAUCAGCAGUGAUGGAAGAGGACGGGACAGGACGGACCUGUUUUUGUAUUCCUGACUUCCGUUUCCAUCGGGGACGCGUGGCUUGGAGCGCAGGAGCCGUAUGUGUUACUCACCCGUGUCAGAUUGGUCUGCAGCGGUGCAGGUUAUGAAUUACAGGAUGACUCGGAAACUCGGAAACAGGGAGAAGAAACGAUUCUUUCCUGCCUUGGCACAUUUGGAUGUUCAUCCGAAAUUGUCUGCUGGCAACAAAGAAGUUGGAAAAUGACAGCCGUGGCCACCCACCGAAGGCCUGGAUAUAAUGGGGAGUGAGAGCAAAGCCUCUGUACUUUCUGCUCCAUUGAGGAACCCGAAGGGAGAAAGCUGUCUGGUUCUGUCUGCUGUUGUCAUCGUGGCCAAAAAAGAAGGGAGCCGAGGGCGCCAGGACUCACCUCCCCCCCCCAACCCCAAAUAAAACCCCUCCAAAAACUACCAACAAACGAACUUGACUUUUGUCCCGUCCCGUGUCGCCCUCCCCACAUUCGGAUUUCUGGGGUCUCCCAGCGCCCUUAUUGGGGCUCCCCCCUCAGGGCUCCCUGCGCUGCCACCUUCCCACGAGGUCGGCGAGGAUAGGAUGCCCCCCGGACGUGCGGGAGCAGCGGGGCUCAGUUGGGAAAUCAUGACAGGAAGCACCUGCAGCUGCACGGGUCCGGUCCCCCACCCGCCAUCUCUAUGACUUCCGCGUGGCGAAGGGGAGUCCCGGUACUCCGAAAAUUGGAAUAACUGUAUGAUUCCGAUCGGGCGGGGGGCGUUUCCGGUCCUCUACUCCUUGUCUCUAUGAUUUCCGGUGCUCCUCUUUGCUAUCUCGAUGAUUCCGAGAGGGCGGGGGCGCUUUCGGUCCGCCACCCCAUAUCUCUAUGGUUUUUCUGCGUGGCGGAGCGGCCUUCAGGGGCCCCUCUUUGCUAUCUCGAUGAUUCCGAGAG